AUGCCAUCGCUGCCACCAGCGCCGCUUCCAGUCCUGCCAGCGCCGCCUCCACCUCCGCCAGCGCUGCCUUCGCCUCCGCCAGCGCUGAGGCCACCGCCUUUGGUGUCCCCAGAGCCUCUGCCAGCCCUGCCAGCGCCACCAGCGCCUGCCUGGAGGCCGCCGUGGCCGAGGCCACCGCCGGGGACAGUGGUUGUGGAGAGGACAUCCUGUGCAGAGGACCCAAGUGUCCAGGUGGGGACCCAGGCAUCCAGGGACGGGACCCCCUCCAGGGACCCAGGUGUCGUGGGGAGGACACACACCCCUAGAAGAGGGACCCGGGCACCCAGGGAUGGGGACCCAGGCACCCAGGAGGGACCCAGGAGUCUCGGGAUGGGACCCAGGCAUUUGGGUGGGGACCGAGACAUUCAGGGAUGGGGACCCUCUCUGAGGACCCAGGUGUUCUGGAGAGGACACACACCCCUAGAAGAGGGACCCAGGCACCCAGGGAUGGGGACCCAGGCAUCCGGGCAGGGAAACGCUCCCGUGGGACCCAGGUGUCCCGGGGGGACCCAGGUAUUUGGGUGGGGAGCCCUUCCCAGCCCUGUCCUGGAGAUAAGAGGGACCCAGGAGGCUGGGGAUGGGACCCAGGCAUUCGUGUGGGGACCCAGGUAUCUGGGUGGGGACCCAGGCAUCCAGGGAUGGGGACCCUCUCCGGGGACCCAGGUGUCCUGGGGAGGACACAUGCCCCUACAAGAGGGACCCAGGCACCCAGGAGGGACCCAGGAGUCCUGGGAUGGGACCCAGGCAUUUGGGUGGGGACCCAGACAUUCGGAGAUGGGGACCCUCUCCGAGGACCCAGGUGUCCUGGGGAGGACACACACCCCUACAAGAGGGACCCAGGCACCCAGGGAUGGGGACCUCCCUGGAGACCCAGGUAUUUGGGUGGGGAGCCCUCCCCAGCCCCGUCAUGGAGAUAAGAGGAACCCUGGAGUCUGGGGACAGCACCCAGGCAUUUGGGUGGGGACACAGGCACCUGGG
rnacentral:lncRNA from 1 species